CUACGGGAGGCAGCAGUGGGGAAUAUUGGACAAUGGGGGAAACCCUGAUCCAGCCAUGCCGCGUGUGCGAUGAAGGCCUUCGGGUUGUAAAGCACUUUCAGUCGGGAGGAAAGGUUGCAAGCUAAUAUCUUGCAAAGUUGACGUUACCGACAGAAGAAGCACCGGCAAACUCCGUGCCAGCAGCCGCGGUAAUACGGAGGGUGCGAGCGUUAAUCGGAAUUACUGGGCGUAAAGCGCGCGUAGGCGGUUACUUAAGCGAGGUGUGAAAUCCCUGGGCUCAACCUGGGCACUGCACUUCGAACUGGGUGACUAGAGUUUUGGAGAGGAGAGUGGAAUCCCCGGUGUAGCGGUGAAAUGCGUAGAGAUCGGGAGGAACAUCAGUGGCGAAGGCGGCUCUCUGGCCAAAAACUGACGCUGAGGCGCGAAAGCGUGGGGAGCAAACAGGAUUAGAUACCCUUGUAGUCC
rnacentral:rRNA from 1 species